CAGUUGGCCGAAGAGAGAAAUGAGAAUGGAAAUGUGAUGGUGAUGAUGGCUUUUGCGGGGCCCACAGGAAUUAAUGUAAUGGAUUUUGAUUUUUGUCACAUGUGUGUGUAUAUAUAUUAUAUAUGUAUAUAUUUAUUACAUCUGACGAAGGAAAGUGGGCAGCAAGGCAAAACGUGGAGAGGAAGAAAAAUUGUAAUGAUGUAGUGUGGGUCCCACGGGUUGAUUUUUUGGUCAAAAAUUGCUUGGGCGUUGGUUUUGUUCACGUGGGUGGUAGACAGUGUGAACAAGGAAAAUAGUGGGGGUUCACAUGGGUGUGUCUGUGAAUUUGCCUAUUUAUGGAGUGUAGUGUCUGCAUUGUGAAGCAAACAAAGAACAUGAGAGAUAAAGAAAGAGAGCAGAGAGAGUUUGAGAAAAAAAAUGAGAGAGUGAGAGAGAAACAGAGUGAGAGAAUGAACGGCAGACAGAGGAGCCGAGAGUUGCAGAGGAGGCUGGAGCUUAAGGCUUGAUGAUUUUCAGUUUUCAGGUACCGAAGAUGGACGGGGAUCGUAGAGACGGGCUUAGGAUGAAGAGUUGCCGUUGUAGGAUUUAUUUUAUUUAUUUGGAGAAUUUUUUGUAUAUUUGAGGAAAUUGAUUUUGUAUAAAAAGAGGGCAAUAUUUGUGAUCCUGGAUGUAUUUUGAUGUAUUGAGUUGAAUACAUAGGGGAUUUUAUUGGAAUUGUCGGGGCGUGACAAAAUGGUAUCAGAGCUGUACCCAGCCGGAAGUGUGAGUAUAGUGAUGAUGUAGACGGGUGUGAAUGGGCGAGUGUGUAGUACUGGUGAGCUACCACUCGUAGCCGGGUGUGUGUGGGCGGAUAGCGUUCACCGGCAGCUACUGAGAUGGUUGGUUGGUGUGGUUGGGCAGGUAGCCCAGAUUUGUUAUUGUUUGUUUUUUUUUGUGGGUGGGCGGGUGACGCAUCGACUAGCUACUACAACGGUUACGGAGUGUGUGGGCGGGUGACUAGCACUGUCAGCUACCACAACGUCCUACAUAUCAUUAUAUCUCACAUCGCCUGGGGUAAGGAUUUGGAUUUUGGUUUUGUGGUUGUUGGUGUUUUCGGGUAUACGAAGGCUGUUAGAUCUGAAUUUCGAGGACGAAAUUCUUUUUAAGUGGUGGAGAUUGUGAUAACUCUGAUUUUUUUUUAAUUUAUGAUUUUAUUAUUAUUUAUAAUUUUAAUAUUUUUAGUUCAGUUCAGUGGAGUGUCAUAAUAGUUAUUUUUUUAUAGUUUAUAUAUAUAUAUAUAUAUAUAUAUAUAUAUAUAUAUAUAUAUAUAUCUUAUCUAAUGAUGAAGGUGGGAGGCAGUUGGCCAAAGAGAGAAAUGAGAAUAGAAAUGUGAUGGUGAUGAUGGCUUUUGCGGGGCCCACAGGAAUUAAUGUAAUGGAUUUUGAUUUUUGUCACAUGUGUGUGUAUAUAUAUUAUAUAUGUAUAUAUUUAUUACAUCUGACGAAGGAAAGUGGGCAGCAAGGCAAAACGUGGAGAGGAAGAAAAAUUGUAAUGAUGUAGUGCGAGUCCCACGGGUUGAUUUUUUGGUCAAAAAUUGCUUGGGCGUUGGUUCUGUUCACGUGGGUGGUAGACAGUGUGAACAAGGAAAAUAGUGGGGGUUCACAUGGGUGUGUCUGUGAAUUUGCCUAUUUAUGGAGUGUAGUGUCUGCAUUGUGAAGCAAACAAAGAACAUGAGAGAUAAAUAAAGAGAGCAGAGAGAGUUUGAGAAAAAAAUGAGAGAGUGAGAGAGAAACAGAGUGAGAGAAUGGAUAGUAGACAGAGGAGCCGAGAGUUGCAGAGGAGGCCGGAGCUUGAGGCUUGAUGAUUUUCAGUCGGAAGCGUUGGCUGGGCAAGUUACAAAGGAGAACCUUUAUAAGGGCUUAAUAUACCCCCCAAUCUCUAAUAUCAGAAAAAUCUCUGCACAUAUUGCUGCUAAUGUAGCUGCCAAAGCAUAUGAACUGGGCGUGGCAACACAUUUCCCUCGACCUGAGAAUCUUGUAAAAUAUGCUGAAAGCUGUAUGUAUACCCCUAGCUACCGAAGUUAUCGAUGAAUUACCGCUGAAUGAUCCUUAGAUUGUCUAUAAUGUUUAUAGGUUGUAAUAUUUCUUUUGCUCAUGUUUGGUGUGCCUUUUCUUUUCUUCCUUUGUCCUUUUGUUUUUGUGGUGUGGUAACUUGUAAACUAUAGUUAUGCAAUUAUCACGAGUUUAUGGUCUGGAUA